rnacentral:rRNA from 1 species
UACGUAGGGGGCAAGCGUUGUCCGGAUUUAUUGGGCGUAAAGAGUGUGUAGGCGGCUUUGCAAGUCCGUUGUGAAAACUCGAGGCUCAACCUCGAGACGCCGGUGGAAACUGCAAAGCUAGAGUCCGGAAGAGGAGAGUGGAAUUCCUGGUGUAGCGGUGAAAUGCGCAGAUAUCAGGAGGAACACCCGUGGCGAAAGCGGCUCUCUGGGACGGUACUGACGCUGAGACGCGAAAGCGUGGGGAGCAAACAGG